rnacentral:tRNA from 2 species
GCGGGAGUAACUCAGCGGCUAGAGUAUCUGCCUUCCAAGCAGAAGGUCGCCGGUUCGAAUCCGGUCUCCCGCUCCA